GUCAUCCUACGGGGGGCAGCAGUGGGGGAUAUUGCACAAUGGGGGGAACCCUGAUGCAGCGACGCCGCGUGGGUGAAGAAGCGCCUCGGCGCGUAAAGCCCUGUCAGCAGGGAAGAAAAUGACGGUACCUGAAGAAGAAGCACCGGCUAACUACGUGCCAGCAGCCGCGGUAAUACGUAGGGAGCAAGCGUUAUCCGGAAUUAUUGGGUGUAAAGGGUGCGUAGACGGGAGUCUAAGUUAGUUGUGAAAUCCCUCGGCUCAACUGAGGAACUGCAACUAAAACUGGACAUCUUGAGUGCAGGAGA
rnacentral:rRNA from 1 species